AGCGAACGCUGGCGGCAGGCCUAACACAUGCAAGUCGAACGGAUCCUUCGGGAUUAGUGGCGGACGGGUGAGUAACACGUGGGAACGUGCCCUUUGGUUCGGAACAACUCAGGGAAACUUGAGGUAAUACCGGCUGUGCCCUUCGGGGGAAAGAUUUAUUGCCAUUGGCGCGGCCUUCGUCGAGUUAGCUAGUUGUUGGGGUAAAGGCCCACCAAGGUGACCAUCAGUAGCGGGUCUGAGAGGAUGAUCAGCCACAUUGGGACUGAGACGUGGCCCGAACGCCUACCGGAGGCAGCAGUGGCGAGUCUUGCGCAAUGGGUGAAGGCAUGACGCCGUCAUGCCGCGUGAAUGAUGAAGGUCUUAGGAUUGUAAAAUUCUUUCCCCGGGGGCGAUGAUGACGGUACCCGGAGAAGAAGCCCCGGCUAACUUCGUGCCAGCCGCCGCCGUAACAC
rnacentral:rRNA from 1 species